CUAGGCUUUCCCAGUCCAGGCAGUACCCUCGAGAGGAGGCAUAAUAGAGAGAGGAGGGGGACACUGGACUUGGAGUCAGAAGAACUGAG
ensembl:miRNA